CAGAGCAAGAUACUGCCAGAAAAGAUCUUACUUCUUGGUGAGCUUCCAGGGAUACUAUCAUCUCUAAAAGAGGCCCUGGAGUCCAUGAAACGAGGUUCAUUCAGCUCAAGCCCAAGAUCAUCUGAGCUGUCUUCCUGAAACCUCAGACAUGAUUUCCCUCGGUGGUUCUGAUGUCCCCAAAAGAGUCUAUGGCAGACUGAACAAGUCACGAACUUCUCUUUUUACUCACGACUUGGCCACUUUACUUUUUGCUAUUGUAUUUCACUUUGUUUGACUUAAAGGAUUAGUUCACUUAAAAAAAAAAAAAAACUUUUGCUGAUAACUUACCCACCC